GAGUGAUCGAAAGAUGAAAAGCACUUUGAAAAGAGAGUUAAACAGCACGUGAAAUUGUUGAAAGGGAAGCGUUGUCCACCAGACUCGCCCGGGGGGGUUCAGCCGGCACGUGUGCCGGUGUACUCCUCUCCGGGCGGGCCAGCAUCGGUUUGGGCGGCUGGUGAAAGGCCCCGGGAAUGUAACACCCUUCGGGGUGCCUUAUAGCCCGGGGUGCCAUACAGCCAGCCUGGACCGAGGCCCGCGCUUCGGCGAGGAUGCUGGCGUAAUGGUGGUCAACGGCCC
rnacentral:rRNA from 1 species